CACGCAGUAAACGAUGAAUACUAGCUGUAUGCGAUAUACUGUAUGUGGCAAAGCGAAAGCGUUAAGUAUUCCACCUGGGGAGUACGUUCGCAAGAAUGAAACUCAAAGGAAUUGACGGGGGCCCGCACAAGCGGAGGAACAUGUGGUUUAAUUCGAUGAUACGCGAGGAACCUUACCAGGGCUUAAAUGUAGAUUGACAGGUCUGGAAACAGAUUUUUCUUCGGACAAUUUACAAGGUGC
rnacentral:rRNA from 1 species